AUGAUCUAUGGAGGGGAUACUGCUUACUCAAUAUGGAAAAUAGUCCAUGACAAUCUGUUGCCUAACACAGAAGACAGUGAGGCUCAGUUGAAAAAUAACUUAUACGGCCUAUCAAAGGGAAAUUUGUUCUUGGAUGUUUAUCUUGAGGGAGAAAAGCCAUCUCUUGAUAACAGAAAUGGAUCUUCUGCUGCGUUUUUUCUGCUUCCAUCUCUCCAGCUCAAUUCAUGA